AUUGCAGUAAUGAGCCUUAACAUAUAAGAUACACUAUAAUGGUUUCUUCAAUGAAAUACUCUUCUUGCACGCAUU